rnacentral:rRNA from 1 species
AAUAGAUACCCGGGUAGUCCACCCCGUAAACGUUGGGAACUAGUUGUGGGGUCCUUUCCACGGAUUCCGUGACGCAGCUAACGCAUUAAGUUCCCCGCCUGGGGAGUACGGCCGCAAGGCUAAAACUCAAAGGAAUUGACGGGGACCCGCACAAGCGGCGGAGCAUGCGGAUUAAUUCGAUGCAACGCGAAGAACCUUACCAAGGCUUGACAUACACCGGAAACGGCCAGAGAUGGUCGCCCCGCAAGGUCGGUGUACAGGUGGUGCAUGGUUGUCGUCAGCUCGUGUCGUGAGAUGUUGGGUUAAGUCCCGCAACGAGCGCAACCCUCGUUCUAUGUUGCCAGCACGUAAUGGUGGGAACUCAUGGGAUACUGCCGGGGUCAACUCGGAGGAGGUGGGGAUGACGUCAAAUCAUCAUGCCCCUUAUGUCUUGGGCUUCACGCAUGCUACAAUGGCCGGUACAAAGGGCUGCAAUACCGUGAGGUGGAGCGAAUCCCAAAAAGCCGGUCCAGUUCGGAUUGAGGUCUGCAACUCGACCUCAUG